CAAAAGCAUAAAAAAAGGGAGGCAAAAAAAGAGGUAUAGUCUGAGGUGAAUAAAAUAAAUAACAAGUUGAUCUUCUCAUUCCUGCAAUCUAUUGGUUGAUUGAAAGAUAUUUUGAAGUCCAAAUUUAUAAACAGUAUAUAAAUAGAUUAAAGCUGACUUCCCCAUGCCACAAUAAUAAGCAAAUCAGGUAACACAUAGUGAAUCCGCUCAAGAAAGCUUGCUUGGGUGCAGGAGGAAGUGAGUGAUGGAGCUCUCUAUAUAUGAGUGUACAAGAAAUUGUCCAAAUCACAGGCAAGCUAAACAUUACGAAUAUCAAUCAAUGUUAAUUUAGCUUCACAUUCAUUAUCUAAUACAGCAAAAAUUCUCCAUGCAAAUGCACCCAAUAGUUUAGCUUACUUCAUUGAAGCUCAAUGAAAAUUCCACAAUCCAAAUCAAUAAUUACAACUUAAAAGAGAAAACUGCCUCAUAAUUCCGGCUAAGAACCCAAAAUUUGAUAAAUCUACUAAAAAUAUAACCUAUGAAAAUUAAUAAAUAUAGUCAAAUGUUCAGAUCAGUGUUCAGAUUGUUAAUAACAAUAAAUCAACCGCAAAUUAAUAGAUCCACAACCCAAAAGGAAAAUCCAAGAGAUUUCAGAGAUUCAAAGCAGAUGAACAGAAAAAUUGAAAAAGAAAGAUUAGCCGGGAGAUUCGGAGACGUACCCAUGGGCGGAAGAUUUGAUAGG
rnacentral:misc_RNA from 1 species